rnacentral:rRNA from 1 species
ACAGCUUUGGUCCUGGGCUUACCGUUAUUUUUUAUUAAGAUUAUACAUGCAAGCCUCAACAAUCCAGUGGAAAUGCCCAUAACCCCUUAAAAGAUGAAAUGGAGCAGGCAUCAGGCACUAUUAUUAAGCCCAUAACGCCUAGCCACGCCACACCCCCACGGGCUUACCAGCAGUAAUAAACAUUGGGCUAUAAGUGAAAACUUGACCCAGCUAUGAUAAUUUAGGGCUGGUCAAUUUCGUGCCAGCCACCGCGGUUAUCGAAAGGCCAAAAUAACGAAAAACCGGCGUAAAAUGUGACUAGAGAAUAUAAUAUUUUAAAUAUCAAAAUUCAUAAUCUAGUUGUAAAACACUCAGAUAAUGAAGAAAACCACCACAGAUAUUUUUAUAUUAUACUCUUGACCACACGAAAGCUUAGAAACAAACUAGGAUUAGAUACCCUACUAUGCUAAGCCCUGAACAUCGAUAGUUACCUAUACAGUACUUUCCGCCAGAGAACUACAAGUGAAAAACUUGAAACUCAAAGGACUUGACGGUGUCCCAUAUCGG